UCAGGAAACCGUAUUAAGGAAACCAACGAGCCCGGAAGUGCGUUUGGUGUUUCUGGUUCGCUGAUACUGUCGACACAGUCUAUGUUCGGGAAAGAGUGGACCAUACAUGCUAAACGAGGGGAUACGAAUGACUCAUACACGGAACACGUUCAGUUCAUAGUGGACGAAUAUGUCCUUCCAACUUUUGAAGUGGAACUCAACAUUCCUCCGUUUGGGACAGUUGAAAAUCCAGAGCUGAAAGGAUCCGUCAUGGCCAAGUA